rnacentral:rRNA from 1 species
UACAGAGGGUGCGAGCGUUAAUCGGAAUUACUGGGCGUAAAGGGCGCGUAGGCGGCCUCUUAAGUCGAACGUGAAAUCCCCGGGCUCAACCCGGGAACUGCGUCCGAUACUGGUGGGCUCGAAUCCGGGAGAGGGAUGUGGAAUUCCAGGUGUAGCGGUGAAAUGCGUAGAUAUCUGGAGGAACACCGGUGGCGAAGGCGGCAUCCUGGACCGGUAUUGACGCUGAGGCGCGAAAGCCAGGGGAGCAAACGGG